CCUACGGGGGGCAGCAGUGAGGAAUAUUGGUCAAUGGACGAGAGUCUGAACCAGCCAAGUAGCGUGAAGGAUGACUGCCCUAUGGUUUGUAAACUUCUUUUAUAAAGGAAUAAAACGAGCCACGUGUGCCUUUUUGCAUGUACUUUAUGAAUAAGGAUCGGCUAACUCCGUGCCAGCAGCCGCGGUAAUACGGAGGAUUCGAGCGUUAUCCGGAUUUAUUGGGUUUAAAGGGAGCGUAGAUGGGUUGUUAAGUCAGUUGUGAAAGUUUGCGGCUCAACCGUAAAAUUGCAAUUGAUACUGGCAGUCUUGAGUACAGUUGAGGUAGGCGGAAUUCGUGGUGUAGCGGUGAAAUGCUUAGAUAUCACGAAGAACCCCGAUUGCGAAGGCAGCUUACUAAACUGUGACUGACAUUGAUGCUCGAAAGUGUGGGGAUCAAACAGGAUUAGAUACCCGUGUAGUC
rnacentral:rRNA from 1 species